UAGACGACUCCAAGAGGAAGCCUUACCAAGCAGAUCUGCAUAAGGACAUGAAGAAAACCUUCUCUUUUUUGUGUGUCCCAUGAUGAUUGAAAGAUUAGGGCUUUUGGGAGACGUUGCUGAGCACCUUUUCAACAGUGUGGUCCUGCUCAGCCUGAGAUCCAGCUGCGCAGAAGAUGUUCUUUCUCAGAUGCUCCAACCUCUGAUCUGGAGAGGAUUCUGGUGCUGGUCAGAAAGGAUGCAGAAAACCCUGUAGCCAGCAUUCCAAGCACACUGAGCUGUGAUGCUCUUUUAUCUCGCUGUUACUGCAAGUUUGAGCCUCUGCAUCCAGAUCUUGUAACUCUCCACCUGUUAGAGCUCACUCCAAAUGCAGGAUGAAACCAUCUCCAUGCAAGGUGAAACAAAGGUCUCUGAAGGACGGAAG
rnacentral:lncRNA from 1 species